rnacentral:lncRNA from 1 species
GAGAGGGUUCGGCUGCUAUUCUUUUUCUGCGCACACUCUCUUCCAACCCACGAACAGAUUUUCUUCUUUGCGGUAGCUUCAUUUGGGGAGCCAUUUGGACAAAAGAGACUUACAAGGAGCUUAAAAGACUAAAUGAGAGGUAGAGAGGAAAAGAUUUUAGAAGAAAAGGCAAGAAUUUUGGAGAGGUAAGUCACUAGUUUGGAGAAGAGGGGUAGGAUCUAGGACAAGCUCGAAUUGCCCAAAUGAG